rnacentral:rRNA from 1 species
UACGAAGGGGGCUAGCGUUGCUCGGAAUCACUGGGCGUAAAGCGCACGUAGGCGGAUCUUUAAGUCAGGGGUGAAAUCCUGGAGCUCAACUCCAGAACUGCCUUUGAUACUGAGGAUCUCGAGUCCGGGAGAGGUGAGUGGAACUGCGAGUGUAGAGGUGAAAUUCGUAGAUAUUCGCAAGAACACCAGUGGCGAAGGCGGCUCACUGGCCCGGAACUGACGCUGAGGUGCGAAAGCGUGGGGAGCAACAGG